UAGCGCGUAUACUCUUGACGAUAUCAUACGUGGCAUGCUUAAACAAGAUUAUUUUAUCAAAACACUUAGCUUAGAACUCAAGAGACUUAAAGGAGAUCUUGUAUGUGGAAUAGGAAACCCAGUGACCGUUAACAGGAAGUUACAUAUAACAAAGAUUAAAUUACAAGUACGUAAAAGGAUUGUUAUUGGUGCAGCCAAGGACGCGUACUGCGAAAUAUAUCGGCAGUGCUUACAUGGAAGAACCAUUACUUAAAAGACGUUAUCGACCGUUAGGAAAACCAGGAUUAGGAAGCGCUAUUGCACAUGCAGUUCCAGUGGUUGUAGGGGCAGCAGUUAAAAACCCUGGAUUCUUUCGAAAUUUUAUCUACGCGAAUCCACCGUUUGCGGGUCCAGCUAUUCGUGACGCUGUUAAUAUGGCAUUUAGGAGGCGUGUUCUUACAAGAGUUAGAGGCUCCCUUGAAAUCUACGAAUACUGGAAAGAUAUAAGACUUAACCGAAACACGGACCCAGAUAUGAACGUCCCGAAUGAAAACACUUUCGACACCUCCUUCACUUCGCGCUUCAUUGAGAUCAAGUUUUCCCCGAAGGAGUUAUAUAAGAAGGUGACAUUCUGGUGUCGCGUUUUCAUUUACAGUAUACCUGUACUCACACAACUGUGUGAUGUGCAUCACUGAAGUAGCCUUCAAUAACACAGUCCUACAUAUCUGAGUGCCGAAAGAAAACUACUGGAAUCAACUCCUACGCAAAAUUGGGAUCUUGCAGCAAAGGUUACAAGGAUUUCAGUCUUCACUUUUAAACUAAUGUUAUAAUUUUCCCUUGCUACGAGAGUUCCGGAAGUCAGAAACCGCUUAUUAGAAUUUGUUAAACUUCAUGUCAUCAAUUCACACCUCAAAUACUUUAGUUUAUGUUUUCCUCCUGUAAUACCUUUACAAUGGCUAGAACGAAGCGAAUCCAGAACGGGCUGGGUCUAUUGUACACAAGUGCGCAAGGAGAGAUUAUAGACUGGCCUGCUUAGCAGGUUUUCGACGACUUCAUUCGUUCGUCUUUGGUGCUUCAGAAGAAGAUGGCAAAUAACAUAUAAGCCAUAGACCAUCAUUACUACUUUCGCCUUGAGGCCUUCUCGUCUAUAAUGCCUCAUUGCGUUAAAAAUUAAAAUUGCACAGUCUACCGUCUGUGCUCGAUGCCCAAGAGGACUGGUCAAAGGUGGGUUGCUAAGUUUACAGUCGGCAGCUUGGACUUCGAGGACGCACUUUAUUCGAGUCAGCUAUGUCAAUAUACAGAGGACCGUCUAAAGAUGCCAUUGAAAGAAGAUAACUAACAAACGACUGAUAUGGAGCAAAUUAACUUUCUCGUACACUGCCAUGGCUAUAACCAGACGUAAUUUCGUUACUAGAAACACGCUAACCGCCAGAAGCACUCACCGGAAAUCCGGGCUUUCCUGGGGAACCAGCAGGUCCUGGUGCGCCAGGUUCUCCAUUACGUCCUCGCCGACCCCGUUUACCGGGCAGUCCUGCUGGGCAGGCACAAUCUUCGCGCACCAUACGAGGAUUCCGGCGCAAAACAUUCCAUACAGGAUGCGUUUCAGAUCCAAUUGUGGAACGCUGACAGCGCCGUUUGGUCUCAAAAAAAAGCUUGGAGCUAUGCCAUGACAGUUGCGGAACCUCCUCUUCUUCUAUGUUUUAAUGAAGUAAAGGUAUUAGUCCUUUGUAAUCGUGAAAUAAAAUAAUUUUAUGAUGCAAAUAUUAAUAAGCAAUGCUUCAUCCAGGCGGACGGUGGUUGGUAAUGGUUUAUUGUAAAAUGCAUUUUUAAUUACACUUGUAAUAAAAUUAUAAUUAAGGUUGGCCGAUCUGACCAACUCAAAGUGGUGUGUUUUUGUCUGAGUUGUGUACAUCUGUGUCCCCGUGACAUU